rnacentral:rRNA from 1 species
GCAUAUCAAUAAGCGGAGGAAANGAAAAUAACAAUGAUUCCNUUAGUAACUGCGAGUGAAGAGGGAUAAGCUCAAAUUUUAAAUCUGUUAGGUUAACCUAACCGAGUUGUAAUUUGAAGAGGCGUUUUCUACGUUUUUGGUCAGCCCAAAUUCCUUGGAAUAGGAUAUCAUGGAGGGUGAGAAUCCCGUUCGGCUGAUUAAUACGUUUUACGAUACGCUUUCAAAGAGUCAAGUUGUUUGGGAUUGCAGCUUAAAAUGGGAGGUAAAUUUCUCCUAAGGCUAAAUAUUGGCGAGAGACCGAUAGCGAACAAGUACCGUGAGGGAAAGAUGAAAAGUACUUUGAAAAGAGAGUCAAACAGUGCGUGAAAUUGUUGAAAGGGAAACGAUUAAAGUCAGUCGUACCGACGAGUAAUCAGCGUUUCGAAUGCGAUUUUGUGGCUCAUGAGGAAUCUAACGAUCUUCAUGUUUACAAAUUUGUGUUCUUUGGGUGUAAUUUCUCGUAUGGUAAGUUAACAUCAAUUUCGUUCGUUAUAAAAUGAUUGGGGAAAUGUAGCUUUGAUCUCGUAUUGAAGUGUUAUAGACCCUGGUAGAUGUAAUGAUCGGGAUUGAGGAUUGCAACGGAUGCUCUUCGGGGCUAUUCGUCUGGCCUCUGAGGGUCACCUUAGUGUCGAAAGCUUGCUUAUGGCUUUAAGGAUGGUGUUCAAAAGGUUAGAACGGAUUAAAUUCGUUAAGGAUGUUGACGUA